UCAAACUUGGUCAUUUAGAGGAAGUAAAAGUCGUAACAAGGUUUCCGUAGGUGAACCUGCGGAAGGAUCAUUAUCGAAUGAAUCUAGUAGUUGGUUGUCGCUGGCCCCAGGGCAUGUGCACGCCUUCUCUCCUUCAUCCACACACACCUGUGCACUUGUGAGACGGAGGAUUGAAAAAUCCUCCGCCUACUAAUCACACAAACACUUGAACCGAAUGUAAUUGAUGUAACGCAUCAUUGGAACAAAGUUUCAACAACGGAUCUCUUGGCUCUCGCAUCGAUGAAGAACGCAGC
rnacentral:misc_RNA from 1 species